AUACUAUCUACAGCAGUACAUAUUCUAAAACUGGAAUGAUACAGAGAAGACUAGCAUGGCCUCUGUGCAAGGAUGAUAUGAAGUUUUUCCAUAUUUUU
rnacentral:snRNA from 1 species